UGCAAGUCGAACGCGUUGGCCCAAUUGAUUGACGGUGCUUGCAUCUGAUUGAUUUUGGUCGCCAACGAGUGGCGGACGGGUGAGUAACACGUAGGUAACCUGCCCAGAAGCGGGGGACAACAUUUGGAAACAGAUGCUAAUACCGCAUAACAGCGUUGUUCGCAUGAACAACACUUAAAAGAUGGCUUCUCGCUAUCACUUCUGGAUGGACCUGCGGUGCAUUAGCUUGUUGGUGGGGUAACGGCCUACCAAGGCGAUGAUGCAUAGCCGAGUUGAGAGACUGAUCGGCCACAAUGGGACUGAGACACGGCCCAUACUCCUACGGGAGGCAGCAGUAGGGAAUCUUCCACAAUGGGCGCAAGCCUGAUGGAGCAACACCGCGUGAGUGAAGAAGGGUUUCGGCUCGUAAAGCUCUGUUGUUAAAGAAGAACACGUAUGAGAGUAACUGUUCAUACGUUGACGGUAUUUAACCAGAAAGUCACGGCUAACUACGUGCCAGCAGCCGCGGUAAUACGUAGGUGGCAAGCGUUAUCCGGAUUUAUUGGGCGUAAAGAGAGUGCAGGCGGUUUUCUAAGUCUGAUGUGAAAGCCUUCGGCUUAACCGGAGAAGUGCAUCGGAAACUGGAUAACUUGAGUGCAGAAGAGGGUAGUGGAACUCCAUGUGUAGCGGUGGAAUGCGUAGAUAUAUGGAAGAACACCAGUGGCGAAGGCGGCUACCUGGUCUGCAACUGACGCUGAGACUCGAAAGCAUGGGUAGCGAACAGGAUUAGAUACCCUGGUAGUCCAUGCCGUAAACGAUGAGUGCUAGGUGUUGGAGGGUUUCCGCCCUUCAGUGCCGGAGCUAACGCAUUAAGCACUCCGCCUGGGGAGUACGACCGCAAGGUUGAAACUCAAAGGAAUUGACGGGGGCCCGCACAAGCGGUGGAGCAUGUGGUUUAAUUCGAAGCUACGCGAAGAACCUUACCAGGUCUUGACAUCUUGCGCCAACCCUAGAGAUAGGGCGUUUCCUUCGGGAACGCAAUGACAGGUGGUGCAUGGUCGUCGUCAGCUCGUGUCGUGAGAUGUUGGGUUAAGUCCCGCAACGAGCGCAACCCUUGUUACUAGUUGCCAGCAUUAAGUUGGGCACUCUAGUGAGACUGCCGGUGACAAACCGGAGGAAGGUGGGGACGACGUCAGAUCAUCAUGCCCCUUAUGACCUGGGCUACACACGUGCUACAAUGGACGGUACAACGAGUCGCGAACUCGCGAGGGCAAGCAAAUCUCUUAAAACCGUUCUCAGUUCGGACUGCAGGCUGCAACUCGCCUGCACGAAGUCGGAAUCGCUAGUAAUCGCGGAUCAGCAUGCCGCGGUGAAUACGUUCCCGGGCCUUGUACACACCGCCCGUCACACCAUGAGAGUUUGUAACACCCAAAGUCGGUGGGGUAACCUUUUAGGAGCCAGCCGCCU
rnacentral:rRNA from 1 species